UCAACAGUAUUUGCAUUUAUUUUAUUGUAUAUUCUAUUGUAUUUUCAAUUAUCUUUGAUUUGCAUUAUAGUGACAGAAUUCUACAUUAUUGGCAAUACAAAUGGGAUGAAUACCUGUUUGUUCAAAUGUAAAGUAUACUUGUUCAUCUCUAAAAACUUUACUUAAACCAUUUAGGGGCAAUAAUGAAAUCACAACCUGGGUCUACUAGCAUGGAUGCUGAAAGCCAGAUUGCAGAGACCCUUAAACAUGCACCAGGUCUGGUUAGGAGAAAGGCUAAUCGAUCAGUUGCCCCACAUUUACAAGAUGGUUCAUUGGACCUCUUCUCAUAAUUUUAAUUUUACCUGUGCCUGCUGCACAUCAUUCUCUGUCCCCGGACUGUCUGCCUGGUUUUGACUUGUGCCUGCCGACUGGUUUCUGCGCUUGCCUU